rnacentral:rRNA from 1 species
AGGACGAACGCUGGCGGCGCGCUUAACACAUGCAAGUCGAGCGAGAACCAGGACUUCGGUCCUGGGGACAGCGGCGAACGGGUGAGUAACACGUGGGUAAUCUGCCCUCGAUUCUGGGAUAGCCCGGGGAAACCCGGAUUAAUACCGGAUAGCCUUUCGAGCUCUCGGGCUUGAAAGAAAAGGUAGCUUCGGCCUCCGAUCGAGGAUGAGCCCGCGGUGGAUUAGCUUGUUGGCGGGGUAAUGGCCCACCAAGGCGACGAUCCAUAGCUGGUCUGAGAUGACGAUCAGCCACACUGGGACUGAGACACGGCCCAGACUCCUACGGGAGGCAGCAGUGGGGAAUCUUGCGCAAUGGGCGAAAGCCUGACGCAGCGACGCCGCGUGGGGGAAGAAGGCCUUAGGGUUGUAAACCUCUUUCAGGUGGGACGAAGCCACUCGGGUUAAUAGCCCAGAGGGUGACGGUACCGCCAGAAGAAGCCCGGCUAACUACGUGCCAGCAGCCGC